AUAUGUGUUGUGUAAGGUGGGCCCAUGAUCUGUCAGCGUUUGCCAAGCGCUAUCAAGACCUAUUAUACAGCUCACAAGUUGAAUCUCUCUGAUUACAUGUAAAUCCUUUGCGCUGUCAUCAAAAAUCAGGAUGUAUUUUCUACAGAACAUCUAAUGGCCAAUGGAAGGAAUCUUUCCACUGACUUGAGGCUGCUUUGUGUCAAACUGUAACUCACUUAGUAGAACAAGCAAUACAAACAGAUGAAUGAAUGAGUGAAUUUGCAUAUCUCCUUAACCUUCUGAAAUGCCCUUGUGUAAAUUGAACUCUUCCAUUUCAAGUGAAGUUAUCUUCAUUCAUGUAGGACUACUCUCAAUGAAUGCUGUGUAUAUUGUAGGUAUAUCCUAUUCAUUUCAAGAUCAGAUGUGCUUGUCACCUUCCCCUUCUGCACAUACCUCCACAGGAAACUCAAGUUGUCAGGGCAGUUUGUGGAGCUGUGCUAAACUCCAAGUAGAUAUGAAAUAAGGUCCAUCUGGGUUCUUGAUCUGUGUGUAGAACUCAAAUUUAUACCACUGAAGAUGCAUGAGGAGACUGAAAAUCUUGGGUCUCUGCAGCAUCCCCAUUGUACAGUACAGUGAAUAGGAUCUAUUGUCACUUAUGCGUUCUUUCCCAGUACUAUUCCAAAUUACAUGUCUUGGUGAGAGAACGGAUGCUGCAAGAGUAGCUUCUGGUGUAAAGUAAUUGUAUCAAAAUGAUAUGCAAAAUGAAUCUGAUGUUGAUAUUGUAUGCUUCCAUGAAUGUACUGAGAAAUAUCGAGGGCUUGCAU
rnacentral:lncRNA from 7 species